GAUUAUUUCCACUUCUGAGGGACAUUGUUUCCACACCACAGGCCAUGCCAAUGUCAUAUGACCCAUUUCGGAUGCCACCAGCUAUAUUGAUAAUGGCCUGUAAUCCAGAUGAGCACUGCCGGUUCACACUCGAGCAAGGCACCGUCUCUGGGAUACCACUUAGGAACUGUGCAACUCUCGCAAUCAAAGCGCCAGCUCCCGGCUGCAGCACGUUUCCGACACAGAUAUCUCCCAGCACCUCGGGCCGCAGGCGGACGUCCUGCAGGACAGCUGUCAUGACGGCAGACAGCAGCUCAUCGGGCGUGGUAUCCUUGAAGCCUCCUCGCUUGGCCCGGCCGAUGGCCGUCCUCCGCCCGUGCACCACCACCACAUCCUCGGGGCUGGAGGCCACGGCGCGGCUCCCGCACGGGACGGCCCUCACAGCGCCCGCUCCCGGGCCCGACAGGUGCCCCAGCACCGCCCGCACCCGCCGCGCCGCCCCGCCGCCCGGCUGUAGCGCCGCCAUCUUGUCCGCCCGCACUGCCCCGCGCUGCCGUGAUCCCGCCCCGCGCUCGUCCUCCC
rnacentral:lncRNA from 1 species